UAAGGAAUAUUGGACAAUGGAGGCAACUCUGAUCCAGCCAUGCCGCGUGAAGGAAUAAGGCCCUAUGGGUUGUAAACUUCUUUUAGACGGGACAAAACCCCUUUACGUGUAAAGGGUUGAUGGUACUGUCAGAAUAAGCAUCGGCUAACUUCGUGCCAGCAGCCGCGGUAAUACGAAGGAUGCAAGCGUUAUCCGGAAUUAUUGGGUUUAAAGGGUGCGUAGGCGGACUAAUAAGUCAGUGGUGAAAGCCUGCAGCUUAACUGCAGAAGUGCCAGUGACACUGUUAGUCUUGAGUACAGUGGAGGUAGGCGGAAUGUGUCAUGUAGCGGUGAAAUGCUUAGAUAUGACACAGAACACCGAUUACGAAGGCAGCUUGCUAAGCUGUAACUGACGCUAAGGCACGAAAGCGUGGGGAGCAAACA
rnacentral:rRNA from 1 species